GAUCGGGAGCCGGACUGAGAGGUUGAACGGCCACAUUGGGACUGAGACACGGCCCAGACUCCUACGGGAGGCAGCAGUGGGGAAUAUUGCACAAUGGGGGAAACCCUGAUGCAGCGACGCCGCGUGGAGGAAGAAGGUCUUCGGAUUGUAAACUCCUGUUGUUGAGGAAGAUAAUGACGGUACUCAACAAGGAAGUGACGGCUAACUACGUGCCAGCAGCCGCGGUAAAACGUAGGUCACAAGCGUUGUCCGGAAUUACUGGGUGUAAAGGGAGCGCAGGCGGGCGAUCAAGUUGGAAGUGAAAUCCAUGGGCUCAACCCAUGAACUGCUUUCAAAACUGAUUGUCUUGAGUAGUGCAGAGGUAGGCGGAAUUCCCGGUGUAGCGGUGGAAUGCGUAGAUAUCGGGAGGAACACCAGUGGCGAAGGCGGCCUACUGGGCACCAACUGACGCUGAGGCUCGAAAGUGUGGGUAGCAAACAGGAUUAGAUACCCUGGUAGUCCACACCGUAAACGAUGAUUACUAGGUGUUGGAGGAUUGACCCCUUCAGUGCCGCAGUUAACACAAUAAGUAAUCCACCUGGGGAGUACGACCGCAAGGUUGAAACUCAAAGGAAUUGACGGGGGCCCGCACAAGCAGUGGAGUAUGUGGUUUAAUUCGACGCAACGCGAAGAACCUUACCAAGUCUUGACAUCCUGCGACGAUGCUAGAAAUAGUAUUUUCCUUCGGGACGCAGAGACAGGUGGUGCAUGGUUGUCGUCAGCUCGUGUCGUGAGAUGUUGGGUUAAGUCCCGCAACGAGCGCAACCCUUAUGGUCAGUUACUACGCAAGAGGACUCUGGCCAGACUGCCGUUGACAAAACGGAGGAAGGUGGGGAUGACGUCAAAUCAUCAUGCCCUUUAUGACUUGGGCUACACACGUACUACAAUGGCGUUAAACAAAGAGAAGCAAGACCGCGAGGUGGAGCAAAACUCAGAAACAACGUCCCAGUUCGGACUGCAGGCUGCAACUCGCCUGCACGAAGUCGGAAUUGCUAGUAAUCGUGGAUCAGCAUGCCACGGUGAAUACGUUCCCGGGCCUUGUACACACCGCCCGUCACACCAUGAGAGCCGGGGGGACCCGAAGUCGGUAGUCUAACCGCAAGGAGGACGCCGCCGAAGGUAAAACUGGUGAUUGGGGUGAAGUCGUAACAAGGUAGCCGUACUAGUACGGUGCUUA
rnacentral:rRNA from 1 species